rnacentral:rRNA from 1 species
GACGAACGCUGGCGGCGUGCUUAACACAUGCAAGUCGAACGGAAAGGCCCUGCUUUUGUGGGGUGCUCGAGUGGCGAACGGGUGAGUAACACGUGAGUAACCUGCCCUUGACUUUGGGAUAACUUCAGGUAACUGGGGCUAAUACCGGAUAGGAGCUCCUGCUGCAUGGUGGGGGUUGGAAAGUUUCGGCGGUUGGGGAUGGACUCGCGGCUUAUCAGCUUGUUGGUGGGGUAGUGGCUUACCAAGGCUUUGACGGGUAGCCGGCCUGAGAGGGUGACCGGCCACAUGGGGACUGAGAGACGGCCCAGACUCCUACGGGAGGCAGCAGUGGGGAAUAUUGCACAAUGGGCGGAAGCCUGAGGCAGCAACGCCGCGUGCGGGAUGACGGCCUUCGGGUUGUAAACCGCUUUCGCCUGUGACGAAGCGCGAGUGACGGUAAUGGGUAAAGAAGCACCGGCUAACUACGUG